rnacentral:rRNA from 1 species
UACGAAGGGGGCUAGCGUUGCUCGGAAUCACUGGGCGUAAAGCGCACGUAGGCGGAUUGUUAAGUCAGGGGUGAAAUCCUGGAGCUCAACUCCAGAACUGCCUUUGAUACUGGCGAUCUCGAGUCCGGGAGAGGUGAGUGGAACUGCGAGUGUAGAGGUGAAAUUCGUAGAUAUUCGCAAGAACACCAGUGGCGAAGGCGGACUCACUGGCCCGGUACUGACGCUGAGGUGCGAAAGCGUGGGAGC